rnacentral:rRNA from 1 species
AACAAACGCUGGCGGCGUGCCUAAUACAUGCAAGUCGAACGGGGAAAGCUUUCGGGUGAGUACUAGUGGCGCACGGGUGAGGAACGCGUGGAUAAUCUGCCUUAGAGUGGGGGAUAACUAGUCGAAAGAUUAGCCAAUACCGCAUAAGACCACAGGAGCUGCGGCUCAAGGGGUCAAAGGUUUUUCGCUCUAAGAUGAGUCCGCGUAAGAUUAGCUAGAUGGUGAGGUAACGGCUCACCAAGGCGACGAUCUGUAACUGGUCUGAGAGGAUGAUCAGUCACACUGGAACUGAGACACGGUCCAGACUCCUACGGGAGGCAGCAGUAGGGAAUAUUGCACAAUGGAGGAAACUCUGAUGCAGCGACGCCGCGUGAGUGAUGAAGGCCUUCGGGUCGUAAAGCUCUGUCGCAGGGGAAUAACACAAUGAAGGUACCCUGUAAGAAAGGAUCGGCUAACUUCGUGCCAGCCGCCGCGGUAAGAC